rnacentral:tRNA from 1 species
GUUUUAAUAGUUUAAAUAAAACAUUGGUCUUGUAAGCCAAAAAUAAAAUAAAAUUUUUUUAAAACU